rnacentral:rRNA from 1 species
GUCUACGGCCAUGCCACCCUAAACAAGCCCGAUCCUGUCUGAUCUCGGAAGCUAAGCAGUGUCAGGCCUGGUUAGUACUUGGAUGGGAGACCACCUAGGAAGAUCAGGUGCUGUAGGCG